UGUUUAGUGGGUUUUUAUACUAAAUAGUUUCUGCCCAGUGGGUUACUGAACGGCCGCGGUAUUUUGACCGUGCAAAGGUAGCAUAAUCAUUUGCCUCUUAAUUGGGGGCUUGUAUGAAAGAAAGAAUAAAAGCGCAGCUGUCUCUAAGAUAAAGUAGAAAUUGCUGAUUAUGUGAAGAAGCAUAAGUAGCGGAAAAAGACAAGAAGACCCUAUUAAGCUUUACUUUUAGACUUUGUUUUUUAUCUUAUAGAUAAUAAAAAACAAAGUCUACAGGGUUUGGUUGGGGUGACUAAAAAGGAAGAGAUCCUUUUUUUUUAUUUUUAGUUUGUUUUUAAUAAUGAUCCAAGUUUUUUGAUUAGUAGAACAAGUUACUAUAGGGAUAACAGCGUAAUUUUCUCGGAAAGUUCUUAUUAAUGAGAGAGUUUGCGACCUCGAUGNNGACUUAUUAUAUCCUACUAAGGUGUAGGCGCUGCUAGGGUUGGUCUGUUCGACC
rnacentral:rRNA from 1 species